AUUUUCUUUUGUUUCUCUUAUUUCAGUCACUAAUGAUGAGAAUAUGUGAACAAAAUGCUAUUCAUCACAUAGAAACUAUAUGAAUAAAGACACUCGCUACAAUUCUAAUUAGAUCACAAAGAGCACUUCAUCUACUGGAAAUAGAAAUUUAUUUGAUGAGUUGUGAAGACUACACUGACAAGCAGCUUCGAGGCAGGCAGGAAAUCCAAG